AUAUUUUCAUACAUUCACUUUCUUUGUAAAUUUUUAUUUUAGGAUAGUUUUUGAUGCACUUAUUCUCCCCCCUCUGGCACAGAAUGGAGGGAAGCCGCCGCUAUCUGCAGCUGAGCGCCGCUCCGAUAACGACGACGCUGAGUCGCCCGUUCGCCGCUCAAAAAUAACGUUGUUUCCAGUCAGCAGCGCUCGUGUGCUCGUCUGAGGACGUGGGAACAGGACCACCUGCCACCAGGUGGGUUUUUAAAGAGGCGGGAAACUCACAGUCCGGACGCUCAGACACUCGGACGACAUGAGAGGCCUCUGGCUGCUGCUGGCGCUCGUGGCUGCGGCCGACGCCGAGAAGCUCUUCACUGGGCAUCAGGUCAUCAGGGUCAACGUGAGGUCUGAGGAGCAGCUGCAAGUCCUGCAGGCGCUGGAGGCUCAAGAGGAGUGGGAGCUGGACUUCUGGCUCCGCCCCGUCUCCACCGACCUCCCCGUGGACCUCCGGGUCCCUCGCUCCGCCGUGAGCGCCGUGACGGAGCUCCUCGCCGCCCACGCCGUCCCGUACGCCGUCAUCGUGGACGACCUGCAGGAGCUCCUGGACGAGGAGAAAGCUGAGAUGCUGGAGAACCAGAGGAAGGAGCCCAGCGGCGGGAGCUUCAACUUCGGAGCGUAUCAUCCGCUGGAGACGAUCCACAGCUGGAUGGACUCUCUGGUGGCUCAGCACCCCAAACUCGUCACCAAGCAGGAGAUCGGGAGGUCGUACGAGAACCGGCCCAUGUACGUGCUCAAGUUCAGCACCGGAGGAAACAAGCAUCCUGCCAUCUGGAUGGACACGGGCAUCCACUCCAGAGAGUGGGUGUCCCAGGCCACCGGAGUGUGGACUGCCAACAAGAUUGCCGCCGACUACGGCGUGGACGCCUCAGUGACGUCCCUCCUGGACACCGUGGACGUCUACAUGCUGCUGCUGGCCAACCCCGACGGCUACGCCUACACACACUCCAACAACCGGAUGUGGCGUAAGACGCGCUCCGUGAACCCGGGCUCCGCGUGCCGCGGAGUCGACCCCAACAGGAACUGGGACGCAAGCUUCGGAGGCCCCGGGGCCAGCAGGAACCCGUGCUCCGACUCCUUCCACGGCCCCUCGGCUCACUCUGAGGUCGAGGUGAAGAACGUGGUGGAGCUGAUCCGUAGCCACGGCAACUUCAAGGCCUUCAUCUCCGUCCACGCCUACUCCCAGCUGCUCAUGUACCCCUACGGCUACGACUGCAAGAACGCCCUGCAUCAGCGGGAGCUGGACUCUGUGGGCAGAGCAGCCGUUCAGAAGCUCUCGUCCCUCCAUGGCACCAGAUACAAGGUCGGAAGCAUCUGCAACAUCAUCUAGGAACGGAGGGGCGACGUGUCGGGUGACGCGGCGCGGAAAGAACGCAACACACGAAACCUUCAACGUGAUUGGUCAAUCCGUUUGUCUGUCAACAUUUCGGGGGAAAAAAAACAAUGAACACUCAAUAAAUCACAAAGGACCUCCCACCUCACAGAUCAAGCCAGCGGCGGCAGCAUCGACUGGGCCUACAACCUCGGCAUCAAGUACUCCUUUGCCUUCGAGCUGAGGGACACCGGUCGC